rfam:Dipodomys ordii contig_33577, whole genome shotgun sequence.
GGUGGCUCAGUGGUAGAGCUCUUGCCUUGCAUGCAUGAGGCCCUGGGUUCAAUUCCCAAGCACCA